CCUAUGUCGGAUUAGCUAGUUGGUGAGGUAAUGGCUCACCAAGGCAGCGAUCCGUAGCUGGUCUGAGAGGAUGAUCAGCCACAUCGGGACUGAGACACGGCCCGAACUCCUACGGGAGGCAGCAGUGGGGAAUAUUGGACAAUGGGGGCAACCCUGAUCCAGCCAUGCCGCGUGUGUGAAGAAGGCCCUCGGGUUGUAAAGCACUUUCAGCGAGGAAGAACGCCUAGUGGUUAAUACCCAUUAGGAAAGACAUCACUCGCAGAAGAAGCACCGGCUAACUCCGUGCCAGCAGCCGCGGUAAUACGGAGGGUGCAAGCGUUAAUCGGAAUUACUGGGCGUAAAGCGCGCGUAGGUGGCUUGAUAAGCCGGUUGUGAAAGCCCCGGGCUCAACCUGGGAACGGCAUCCGGAACUGUCAGGCUAGAGUGCAGGAGAGGAAGGUAGAAUUCCCGGUGUAGCGGUGAAAUGCGUAGAGAUCGGGAGGAAUACCAGUGGCGAAGGCGGCCUUCUGGACUGACACUGACACUGAGGUGCGAAAGCGUGGGUAGCAAACAGGAUUAGAUACCCUGGUAGUCCACGCCGUAAACGAUGUCGACCAGCCGUUGGGUGCCUAGCGCACUUUGUGGCGAAGUUAACGCGAUAAGUCGACCGCCUGGGGAGUACGGCCGCAAGGUUAAAACUCAAAUGAAUUGACGGGGGCCCGCACAAGCGGUGGAGCAUGUGGUUUAAUUCGAUGCAACGCGAAGAACCUUACCUACCCUUGACAUCGACAGAAGCCGAGAGAGAUCUUGGUGUGCCUUCGGGAACUGUCAGACAGGUGCUGCAUGGCUGUCGUCAGCUCGUGUUGUGAAAUGUUGGGUUAAGUCCCGUAACGAGCGCAACCCUUGUCCUUAUUUGCCAGCGCGUAAUGGCGGGAACUCUAAGGAGACUGCCGGUGACAAACCGGAGGAAGGUGGGGACGACGUCAAGUCAUCAUGGCCCUUACGGGUAGGGCUACACACGUGCUACAAUGGCCGGUACAAAGGGCAGCGAGCUCGCGAGAGUCAGCGAAUCCCUUAAAGCCGGUCUCAGUCCGGAUCGGAGUCUGCAACUCGACUCCGGAAGUCGGAAUCGCUAGUAAUCGUGAAUCAGAA
rnacentral:rRNA from 1 species